rnacentral:rRNA from 1 species
ACGCCUUCAUGAAGCCGGAAUUGCUAGUAAUGGCAGGUCAGCAUACUGCCGUGAAUACGUUCCCGGGCCUUGUACACACCGCCCGUCACACCAUGAGAGUUGGGAAUACCCGAAGCCUGUGAGCUAACUUUUAGAGGCAGCAGUCGAAGGUAGAAUCAAUGAUUGGGGUGAAGUCGUAACAAGGUACC